UUUCCGUAGGUGAACCUGCGGAAGGAUCAUUAAUGAGUUGUCAUAGGGUUCGAUGCUGGCAGCCAGUUUUUGGAUGCAUGUGCUUGCUCUAACAAUCAUCUUCUUCCAAACACCUGUGCACAUUUUUGAGGGAGUCUUGAGUUGGUUGCCGCUCUUGGGUGAUUUUCUCACAUUCCCUUAAAUCAUUAUACGCUAUUAACAAUGUUGAACGUGCUCUGUGCCGCAAGGCCAUUAAUAUAAUACAACUUUUAGCAACGGAUCUCUUGGCUCUCACAUCGAUGAAGAACGCAGC
rnacentral:misc_RNA from 1 species